rnacentral:rRNA from 1 species
CUACGGGGCGCUCCAGUGAGGAAUUUUGCGCAAUGGGGGGAACCCUGACGCAGCAACGCCGCGUGAGUGAUGAAGGCUUUCGGGUCGUAAAGCUCUGUCAAGUGGGAAGAACCUAUGCAGUGUUAAUAUCACCGUAUACUGACGGUACCACUGAAGGAAGCACCGGCUAACUCCGUGCCAGCAGCCGCGGUAAUACGGGGGGUGCAAGCGUUAUUCGGAAUCAUUGGGCGUAAAGGGCACGUAGGCGGCUUGGUAAGUCAGAUGUGAAAGCCCGGGGCUUAACCCCGGAAGUGCAUUUGAUACUGUCAGGCUUGAGUAUGGGAGAGGGAAGUGGAAUUCCUGGUGUAGAGGUGAAAUUCGUAGAUAUCAGGAGGAACACCGGUGGCGAAGGCGACUUCCUGGACCAAUACUGACGCUGAGGUGCGAAGGCGUGGGUAGCAAACAGGAUUAGAUACCCCAGUAGUC